rnacentral:rRNA from 1 species
GACGAACGCUGGCGGCACGCCUAACACAUGCAAGUCGAACGGACGAGAGAGAAGCUUGCUUCUUUCAAGUUAGUGGCGGACGGGUGAGUAACACGUGAGCAACCUGCCUCUGAGAGGGGGAUAGCUUCUGGAAACGGAUGGUAAUACCCCAUAAUGUAGUGGAACCGCAUGAUUUUACUACCAAAUGAAUUUCGCUCAGAGAUGGGCUCGCGUCUGAUUAGCUAGAUGGUGAGGUAACGGCUCACCAUGGCGACGAUCAGUAGCCGGACUGAGAGGUUGAACGGCCACAUUGGGACUGAGACACGGCCCAG